rnacentral:rRNA from 1 species
UACGUAGGGUGCUAGCGUUAUCCGGAUUUACUGGGCUUAAAGGGUGCGUAGGCGGUCUUUCAAGUCGGUGGUUAAAGGUUACGGCUCAACCGUAUUAAGCCGCCGAAACUGGAAGACUUGAGUGCAGGAGAGGAAAGUGGAAUUCUCAGUGUAGCGGUGAAAUGCUUAGAUAUUAGGAGGAAUACCAGUGGCGAAGGCGGCUUACUGGUCUGUGACUGACGCUGAGGCUCGAAAGUGUGGGUAGCAAACAGG